rnacentral:sRNA from 1 species
GCCCCGGGCUGGGCGGCGCACGCCUGUAGUCUCAGCUACUCGGGAGGCUGAGGUGGGAGGAUUGCUUGAGUCCAGGUGUUCUGGGCUGUAGUGUGCUAUGCGAUCCAGUGUCCGCACUAAGUUCGGCAUCAAUAUGGUGACCUCCCGGGAGCAGGUGGCCACCAGGUUGCCUAAGGAGGGGUGAACCCACCCAGGUCGGAAAAAAAUUUAGCUAUUUUUAAAAUUGAAGCAUCAAUUCAUUUUUACAUAAAUAGUCUCUCUAGUUGAGAUUCUGUACUUCCUAAUCAUUUCCAGGUUUU